AUUGAACGCUGGCGGCACGCUUUACACAUGCAAGUCGAACGGUAACAGGUUAAGCUGACGAGUGGCGAACGGGUGAGUAAUGCAUCGGAACGUGCCCGGUCGUGGGGGAUAACGCAGCGAAAGCUGCGCUAAUACCGCAUACGAUCUGAGGAUGAAAGCGGGGGACCGUAAGGCCUCGCGCGAUCGGAGCGGUCGAUGUCAGAUUAGGUAGUUGGUGGGGUAAAGGCCCACCAAGCCGACGAUCUGUAGCUGGUCUGAGAGGACGACCAGCCACACUGGGACUGAGACACGGCCCAGACUGCGACCGGAGGCAGCAGUGGGGAAUUUUGGACAAUGGGCGAAAGCCUGAUCCAGCAAUGCCGCGUGCAGGAAGAAGGCCUUCGGGUUGUAAACUGCUUUUGUACGGAGCGAAAAGGUCCUUUCUAAUACAAGGGGCUCAUGACGGUACCGUAAGAAUAAGCACCGGCUAACUACGUGCCAGCCGCCGCGGUAA
rnacentral:rRNA from 1 species